GGUCAGACCUCCAGUCAGACGUCGAAGUGUCUGGGUAAAGACCAUCAAGGUGUAAAACAUGCAGAUAUUUGUUCAGCACAUCGCUAUUGCUAUUCCUUGAUGCUUUGAGAGCAUAUUCAAAGUUGUAUUUUUCAUGAAACAUUGUAGAAUUUGGCAAUAUAGUCAAUAUUUUACACUCUUACAGAGAUUCUGCAGAACUGGCAGCCGAUGGACGAUAUGCCGUGUGAGCGUAUUCUUCUGCUUUCUGAUUGACUUUCUUUGCCAUGCUGAGGGAGGUGUUGACUAAAUUAGAGAUGGUGCUGGACCAACAAAUCACUGAGAUUGCUUCAACUACAGGAGGUCCAGCUGCAGCCUUUGGAUAUUGAUGAAGAUUUACUGCCCCUGCAAGACCUUCCUCAACUGCGUAGUCUGGAGCGAAGGAUGCAACAGAGCCCAGAUUACAAGCAAGAUCUGUUCAUAGAAACCUCUUUACGCCUAAAGCUGCAGCGAUGGAGGUCGAGGGGACCAUGAAGAGGUGGCUCCAGCUGGCAUCAGAUCA